UGUCUCCAUUCAAACCUCAUUGCCCAAAAUGUAAAUGGAAAAGCUGCAAUAUGUCAGAGUUGAAACAAGUUGGCUGACUUGUCUCCGUUCACCAACAAUAAACAAAUGAGAAAGAAGCAAGUCAAUCGGUGAUGAGGAUGAGGCAAAUACAGCUACUGAUCUAAAGAAGAGAACGAAAAGUGAAAAUUAGGAGCUCUUCGUAGCUGGAAGAACAAGAACACUAUCCAGGUUUGCAUAAACACCUUCCGCUUCCUUUUGCAGACAACUGUGUCAAAAUGCGUGCUUUUAAAGGCUGCUUUAGCUUGAGCCAAUCCAGAAAAUCUGGACGUGAGGAUCCUAUCAAACUCGCUUCUGAGACACCAUUCAGUGUCAACGAGGUAGAGGCUUUGUAUGAUCUAUUCAAGAAGCUGAGCAGUAGCAUAAUUAAAGAUAACCUCAUUCACAAGGAAGAAUUCCGACUUGCACUUUUUAGUAACAGCAGUAAGCAUAAUAUUUUUGCAGAAAAGGUAUUUGACCUUUUUGAUGUCAAGCGCAAUGGGGUAAUUGAAUUUGGUGAGUUUGUUCGCUCAUUAAGCAUCUUCCACCCGAAUGCUUCUGAAGCAGAAAAAAUUACAUUUGCAUUUAGAUUGUUUGACCUACGUGACACUGGCUAUAUUGAGCGUGAAGAGGUAAAAACCACAAAACAAAUCUCUGACCUUACAUUUUCAAGGUUAUCACAAAUGCACUUAACAACACAAUAUGAAUCAUUCUUUGGCAUACACUGGAUGCUCAUAGACCAUUUUUGCUUGGAACUUCAAGAUUGUUUAUCUUCAAUCAAUGUGAUUAAGUAGAAAAUGUUGAGGCGAUUGUGAAAGAUAUGACAAACAAGCUUGGUUCAGCAGUCGAAAGCUUAGUGGUCUGCAGUUGGCUUUCAACUUGGCUAAAGCAUUUGCUUACAACAUUGAUAUCCUAUGGCCCCCCUGCUGCAAUGAUCCCUAGUGUGAUUGCUAGGUCAGUUAAUUCAGCUAUCAAUGGAUUGAAGGUAGGAAAGAAAAAUGUUAGCUGUGAAUCAUUAUCACAGAACUUGUUCAAUGCUUUAAAAGAUUGUUCUUCCCUAAAUUAUUGAGGAGGAGAAAAGAAGAAAAAGCUCCAGCUUUGCAGUUGCCAAUUAAGAAAUAGCCUAAGGACUUCAUCUCAUUUGUUCAUCUCCCUCUUAUACUCUGCCCUGUUCAGUUCUGCUUCUUAGCGAUAGUAAUGUCUAUUUGUUGUUUUAACUUGCAUUAUUAUAUGAUAACUAUUUGACGUUUUUAUUUUUUGAUUAAUUCACAAAUCUAAUUUUCAAUCGUUUUGUAAAUGUCUGUGAUGCUGGAAGUUGAAGGAGAUGGUAUUGGCUGUUUUGGCCGAAUCAGAUACAAUACUUUCAAGUGAUGAUAUCGAAACCAUUGUAGAUAAGACAAUGACUCAAGCAGAUUUAAACGGGGAUGGAAAGAUUGAUCAAGAAGAAUGGAGGGAAUUUGUAGC